CUUGUUGCAAGAUGGCCGCGCCCAGUGGUGGAUUCAAGCCUCGUGAACGAAGCGGUGGGGAGCAGGCACAGGACUGGGAUGCUGUGCCACCCAAGCGGCCCCGACUAGGGGCAGGAAACAAGAUCGGAGGCCGUAGGCUUAUUGUGGUGCUGGAAGGGGCCAGUCUGGAGACAGUCAAGGUAGGGAAGACAUAUGAGCUACUCAACUGUGACAAGCACAAGUCUAUAUUGUUGAAGAAUGGACGGGACCCUGGGGAAGUGCGGCCAGACAUCACCCACCAGAGUUUGCUGAUGCUGAUGGAUAGUCCCCUGAACCGAGCUGGCUUGCUACAGGUUUAUAUCCAUACCCAGAAGAAUGUUCUGAUUGAAGUGAAUCCCCAGACCCGAAUUCCCAGAACCUUUGACCGCUUUUGUGGCCUCAUGGGUAAGAAGUCUUAGAACAAAGUUAGAAUGAACUUGUCAGUAGGGAAAAAGGGAGGAAGAGGAAAAGGGAGAACUAAAUGUGGGAUUUUUAAGCGAGGAAAUGGGAGAACAACAUGAUUAAUACCAGGACAAGGACGGUUAUUAUUUUUCUGUGUUUGUGGAAACUCCACUCCUGUUCUUGCAGUAGCUUCCUGGCUGAGUGAAAGAGUGAGUCUGAACCCAUCACUGUACAGCUAGCCAUAUGCUUGGCAACUGUUUGUUCCUAACAUUUCAGGAGUCCAGUCUAGAUAUAAAGCACACAGGGAACUCAUCUUACCUAUGGGGUUUUCCUUGUUAGAUGACUGGACAGAAGGGCUGUGGUCUCCAUCUAGCUCUGAACUCCUUUUCCCCCUUUUAGUUCAACUUUUACACAAGCUCAGUGUUCGAGCAGCUGAUGGCCCCCAGAAGCUUUUGAAGGUGAGGUAUUGAAACCUAUUAGUUGAAGUUUGGUUCUGGGAAUGUUUCUGGGGCUGACUUUUCUCUUUUUUACUUUAGGUAAUUAAGAAUCCAGUAUCAGAUCACUUUCCAGUUGGAUGUAUGAAAGUUGGCACUUCUUUUUCCAUCCCGGUUGUCAGUGAUGUGCGUGAGCUGGUGCCCAGCAGUGAUCCUAUUGUUUUUGUGGUAGGGGCCUUUGCCCAUGGCAAGGUAAGGUCUGGGCUCAACCCUGAAAUUCUUGGUAGAGCUGAACUUAGUAUAGAAUUCCCAGAGCAGUAGGCAUUUUAACAAUGCUUACAAUGAGCUAGAAGACACAUGACAGUUCCACACCCUGCCCCAGGGCACAUCCUUUGAGGACUGCUGCCAUAAUUGUAAUAGUCACAGUUAGGACCUUCUUCAUCGUUUGU
rnacentral:sRNA from 1 species